GAUGAACGCUGGCGGCGUGCCUAAUACAUGCAAGUCGAGCGAACAGACGAGGAGCUUGCUCCUCUGACGUUAGCGGCGGACGGGUGAGUAACACGUGGAUAACCUACCUAUAAGACUGGGAUAACUUCGGGAAACCGGAGCUAAUACCGGAUAAUAUCUUGAACCGCAUGGUUCAAUAGUGAAAGACGGUUUUGCUGUCACUUAUAGAUGGAUCCGCGCCGCAUUAGCUAGUUGGUAAGGUAACGGCUUACCAAGGCAACGAUGCGUAGCCGACCUGAGAGGGUGAUCGGCCACAUGAGAACUGAGACACGGUCCAGACGCCUACGGGAGGGAGCAGUAGGGAAUCUUCCGCAAUGGGCGAAAGCUUGACGGAGCAACGCCGCGUGAGUGAUGAAGGUCUUCGGAUCGUAAAACUCUGUUAUGAGGGAAGAACAAAUGUGUAAGUAACUAUGCACUUCUUGACGGUACCUAAUCAGAAAGCCACGGCUAACUACGUG
rnacentral:rRNA from 1 species